UCUAUAACGCCGAUGUGGCAGUUCGUCAGGUAUGGUGAGAAUGUACUAGAAGCCAAGAGGAAUCCUAAUUGGACAAGUCUAGUUUGCCGUGGCAUUUGAAAUUGCAGUAUUUGCAGAGCUAAGAGGGGAUGGUUCUGUACAGGCAUUGCAUAUAGGAAGUUGAUUGUUUCUAGUGGUAGUGUAGUCUUAUUGUUCAUGUGUGAAAGAUGUAUGUGUGAAACUUGGAAAGGAAUAAAAGAUACCAUGCUUCAUUUGCUGGUGCGUAUAUAUAUAUGUUUCAUUUGCAGAUACUACUAAUUUUGAGUGCAUUGUACAACACACCAUCUAUUAAACAGAGCAACAAAAAGAUGGAAAGACCGUCAAUAUUAUUUUGAGUGGACUUUGUGAAACAUAGCAACAAAGCAAAGCAGGCACAUCUUAAUUGUUCUUCACAAAUAAAAACUAGACAAUAUAGUGCAUUGUAGAACACAACAUAUGUCAAACCAAAAGAAGUAAAGGCUAACAAUAUUAUAUGUUCAUUACAAGACAAAGAGAAAAUUAAGCGAAGACACUAGUACAAACAGCUCACUCAGGUGCAUUUUGAGUGACUUGUAUGACUUCCGCAUCAUCUCCAGCUACCAUUUCAUUAAGAUCCGGCAACUCAGUUUGCCUCUGGUCAGCACCAAACAACAUGUGAUAUGUUGAUCCAGGUCCUGUGCGGUUUUGAUGCUGUUGGAGCAGUGCUUGGUCCAGCUUCAUUUGACUUUUUUUUACUGCCAUUUCUUCUUCCUACACCUCUGCCUGCUCCUACACUGGUAUCUCUUCCCCUUCCUCUUCCACUUAAUCCUCCUCUGGUUUGGGUAGU